GCUUAAAACAAGAUCACAGUGAGCUUAAGGAAGUCCCAAGGAAGCUCGGAGUGCUUCGUUGGAAGUUUUUGGACGUAAGAACACGGAGAUCGACAAGUUCAAAGUUUGGCCGGAGCUUUCGAGGCUCUUUCCGGCGAAUCCCCGGCGAGUUAGGAGUCGAGGUAGGUAUCAAUCUCUUCGUCUCGUCAAGUACUACAACUUUCCUUUUUGUUUCACUCAAUUUUGUUGAGUAUUGAAGAAGUUAUACUCAUUUGAAAAAUACCCAGUUUCCGGCGACCUCCGAGGCUUUCGAGGCAGUUUCCGGCCAAACAACGGCGAACUAGGUGUUGUGCAAGGUACCAUUCUCUUUGUCUCUUCAAGGGCUACAACUCUCGUUUUUGAAUCACUUGAUUUCGUUGAGAAAUGACAAAGUUAUGGCAAUUUGAAAAACUGCCCGGAAAACGGCCGCCGGAAAAACCAGUCCGGCGACCCAAGGAAGAAGAAGGUGCUACAGUAAAAAAAUAAAUAAAUAAAAAUAAAAUUAUUUUAAAAAUAU
rnacentral:lncRNA from 1 species